CACGUAGGGAGCAAGCGUUGUCCGGAUUUAUUGGGCGUAAAGAGCUCGUAGGUGGUUCCGUAAGUCAGGUGUGAAACCUCCAGGCUCAACCUGGAGACGCCACCUGAUACUGCGGUGACUGGAGUCCGGCAGGGGAGCGUGGAAUUCCUGGUGUAGCGGUGAGAUGCGCAGAUAUCAGGAGGAACACCAGCGGCGAAGGCGGCGCUCUGGGCCGGUACUGACACUGAGGAGCGAAAGCGUGGGUAGCAAACAGG
rnacentral:rRNA from 1 species